rnacentral:rRNA from 1 species
UACAGAGGUGGCAAGCGUUGUUCGGAAUUACUGGGCGUAAAGGGCGCGUAGGCGGCCUCGCAAGUCCCGUGUGAAAUCCCUCGGCUCAACUGAGGAAUGGCACGGGAAACUGCGGGGCUUGAGUUCGGGAGAGGGAAGCGGAAUUCCGGGUGUAGCGGUGAAAUGCGUAGAUAUCCGGAGGAACGCCGGUGGCGAAGGCGGCUUCCUGGACCGAUACUGACGCUGAGGCGCGAAAGCUAGGGGAGCAAACGGG